CCACUUCACUAGUUUUUAGGGAGCUCUCUUCUUUUGCAAUUUUCCAGUGCAUAAACGAGGAUUUCAAUUCCCUAAUCUCUCUUCUUCUGCGAUUUUCCGGUGCAUAAACGAGGAUUUCAAAUCCCUUUUAAUGUUUUUUCCAAACCCUAUAUAGGAGUUUGACAAUACCUGUUUGCGAUCAAGGGCGGUUCGGGCUCUAAUUGCCAUCCACUUUUUCGCCGAUUGGAACGGCAGAUCAGUGUCGUCAUUUGGCGAAAGGGGGGGUUUUGAAACCCUAGCAUGGUAGGAAGCGUGGAAGCAGCGUACGCUCGAUGGAGCAGGGGUGGAAGUCGAGACUGGGAGCAACCGUAGAAGAUGGUGGCCGAAGGUCUGGAUCGAGGAUUUGAGUAAGCCACGUCAUAGGAUGACGGAUUUAAUGGCUGCCUGAGGCGCAUGGGUCGCUGAUUUCUGAGGGUUGCCGAAUUUAAUGGAGGAUCGAAGACGGUAGCGAACAAAGAAGAAGGCCCUGUGAUUUUGCGAUCUGCGGCAGUGGUGGACUGACAAUCGGAGCAGAGCUCUGCUCUUUGUUAUUGUAGGUGCGGGUGAAGGCCCUGUUCUUGCACUAACUCAGGAAGACUUGUUGAGUUGAUUCAAUGCGGUCCAUUUGCUAGCUGUGACAACACAUAAAUGAAGUCCCAUAAAGAAUGGAGAUAUGUAAUUCUCAAAAUUCUUGUUACUGAUGGAUGCAAAACUGAAUAUGUACUGCAACAGUGCCAUUGGCACUCUCCUGAACUGAAUGUAUACUGCAACAGUGCCACUGGCACUCUCCUCAGAGGACACCAUCAAUGGGAAGAGGUUCAUAUUUACGAUUCACGGUCUUUCAUUGGUGGAAAAGUGGGCUCAUUUGUAGAUAAGCGUGGGAAUCACAUCGAGAUGGGACUUCAUGUCUUCUUUGGUUGCUACUAACCUUUUUCGCCUGAUGAAAAAGGUGAAAUCCCCAUCCUUUGUCAUAAGACUCAUAAUCUCUGGACCCAGAAAUGUGAACCAUCUCCAGUGAGUUGAGGGAUAUCUUCAUCACUCAGUUUUGAUUUAUGAAAGCUGGGGUAGAUUAUUCCUUAAAGGAAUGACUGUUUGUGAUAUGAGAAUUGAUGUAUGGUCAAUAGUCCCAAACCAAAUUGUACUUAACCGAAAAAUUUCUGCGUUGAGAUGGAUAGUAUAAUUAGGAGUUAGUUCUAUCUGUUUGAUUCCCUUUCUAUUGUUUUGUGCAUUGAUUUGCUUUGGAUUUGCUCACAACUCUAUUUGGAUUUUUUGCUUAGGAUUGGAUCCUGAGAUAUUGAUGGGUUAAUUGACAUUGGAGUGAUUAUUUCAAUGCAAUUAGUAGCUAGGUUCUACUUGGCUUGUUGA